rnacentral:rRNA from 1 species
CCUACGGGGGGCAGCAGUGAGGAAUAUUGCGCAAUGGGGGAAACCCUGACGCAGCAACGCCGCGUGAGUGAGGAAGGUUUUCGGACCGUAAAGCUCUGUCGAGCGGGAAGAAGUGCAUGGUGGCUAAUAUCCAUUAUGCUUGACGGUACCGCUAAAGGAAGCACCGGCUAACUCCGUGCCAGCAGCCGCGGUAAUCCGGGGGGAGUUAGCGUGGUUCGGAAUCAUUGGGCGUACAGAAUGUGUAAGAUGUGAAAGCCCUGGGCUUAACCUAGGAAGUGCAUUUGAAACUGUUCAGCUUGAGUAAGGGAGAGGAAAGUGGAAUUCCUGGUGUAGAGGUGAAAUUCGUAGAUAUCAGGAGGAACACCGGUGGCGAAGGCGACUUUCUGGCCCUAUACUGACGCUGAGACGCGAGAGCGUGGGUAGCAAACAGGAUUAGAUACCCGGGUAGUC